UACGUAGGGUGCAAGCGUUGUCCGGAAUUAUUGGGCGUAAAGAGCUUGUAGGCGGUUUGUCGCGUCUGCUGUGAAAUUUCGGGGCUCAACCCCGAACUUGCAGUGGGUACGGGCAGACUAGAGUGUGGUAGUGGAGACUGGAAUUCCUGGUGUAGCGGUGAAAUGCGCAGAUAUCAGGAGGAAUACCGGUGGCGAAGGCGGCAUCCUGGACCGGCAUUGACGCUGAGGAGCGAAAGCCAGGGGAGCAAACGGG
rnacentral:rRNA from 1 species